rnacentral:lncRNA from 1 species
GGGGAUGCAGAAGCAAAAGCCUCCCGGAAGAAGGUGCUAUUCUCCAAGCAGCCUCCUCAGUCCCAAGGCCACAAGAUGGAUCACAAUGCCACAACCCUAGGUGGAGAAAUAAAGUAAGUUGAACUCCACCUGAAGUUCGUGGAUUUGGCAAGACUGACUGGCCAGACAGACGGAAGGAUCAGCAUCCUCGUCUGCAUCCCUUGCUGAGAUCACAUGCUCAUGCUGCCAGGCCCAGCUUCUGUGUGACUGUGGGGACCCUGAACUCAGGUCCCCACACUUGCUUGGCAGGCACUUUACUCCAGGAGGCAGCCAUCUCUUCAGUUCCCUAUCUCUGCAUUUUAAACAGAAAUCAUGAACAUUAAAUCACAUGACAAAGCCGCAUCUACCUGGUUGCCAGGAGUCCUGUGGCUGUAUCUUUUCAAUGCCACUCCUAGUUCUCCGUGGCAGGACUUAUUUCUCUAGCUCCCAAAUGUGGUGUCUUUGUUAGAGCAUUUGUAUCUUUUAUCACAGGUAUUUUGUUGAGGAAUAAGUUGAGUCACUGCAUAGAGAAUUUGAGAAGGGUGCCUAGUUAUGGCACUUAGCAGUGUAUGACUUUUCGAUAAAUCUCUUAAUAUCUGGAAACCAUUUUCUAUAAAAAAAAUUAAGCUAUGUAAUAAGGCCUACUUCACAAUGCUGUGCUGGGCCAAUGUGAAAUUGGAUAUUAAAACUGGGCACAUGUCAGGUUUAUUGCCAAGAUGGGGAAGGAAGUGGAUGCAGAGGGAACCCACAAACCUCACUCCUUCCUCUGGGUCAGCUCUGCCACCUUUCUUUUGUGAAGAAUGGCCUGCUGCCUGGAAGACAUACCUAAGGGCUAGAGACCUCUGAGUCCUCCAUGAACCUAGAAGAUGUCCUCUUGAUUCUGGUCAAGAACAAGGUACAGUUACUUGUUCUCAAUACCCAGAGUCAACCUGAUGCACUAUCGUAACAGCAGACUCACCAAGAACUCAUCUGUGACCCAGACACCCUGCUCAACCCCUUCCUGAAUUAUUGCUAUGCCCAAUGCUCAAGGCUCCCAUCAGUGCCUCCCACUGACUAAACCUCAUCCUAAACCAAAGUACAGAUGCCCCUGCGGUGGGCUUGUAAGGGUCAGCACCCAGAGGACAAAGACAGAACUGUGUCCCUAAGGUGGGAGAGGGGUGAACAGGACCCAAUAAGUGUUCAAGCUAGGUUUCAAGUGUGAGAGGCGUGAGAGAAGAGACACAUUGUGUCUCCCCAAGCAGAACCCAUGCCCCAUGCUCUUCGGUAGGUAGAGUGCAGUUGCCAUGUGAAGACAAGGCACAGAGUGAAGAAGCACCUUGUGGUCCUUUUCCCUAGAGAGUGUGGAAAUGCUCAUUUCUUUUCCUGUGUUCAGAUUGAGAAUAUCCACAGCAAUGCUGCAACAGGAAGGGCCCAGGCUUUCCCCUUACAGACACACUGCUGCUGCUGCUGCUGAAGGUUGGUUGGUUGUUUCGAUGAGUGUUGACAGCAGUAGUGAGACCUCACUAGUCAUACCUAAGUCAUGCACAACUCCAUUUCAUCUUAUCUGCAGUGCUGGGCAUAGAACCCAGGUCCUUCCUAGUCGGCCUCUCUGCCAGUGAGCCACACUCUCAGCCACACUCUCAGCCCAUUGUGGAUAUUUUUCAAAGGUUCUUGAUCACCUCGAUACUACCUUGAAAUUUCAGCAGUUAUUCACCCCAAUUUUAGCUGUUGUUGCUAAAUGAGGAAACACUACCAAUUGCUGUUAAUCCAUGUUGUCUCCAGUUCUUUGGUGAUUUUACAUGGCAUGUACAAUGUAUUUAAAUCAUAUCCACUCUUCACUAUCCCUCUCUAACUUUUCUUGGAACCCUCUCCCUCAGAUUCCCCCAAUUUCAUGUUUUUUUCUUACUUUUUACUUCUUCAAAUAACACAAGCUAGCUAUUGUCAUGUCAACUUGAAAUGGCCACUUGAGAAGAGAACCUCAAUUGAGAAAAUGGCCCCACUACAUUGGCCUGAGGUGCAUUUUCUUGAUUGAUGACUGAUGUGGGAGGCUCCAGUUUACUGCGGGGGAGGGGGGUCAAUGCUGGGUUAGUGGUCCUGGAUGCUAUAAGAAAGCAGACUAAGCAAGCCACGAGGAGCAAGCCAGGAAGCAGCCCUCCAUGGAUUCUCCAUCAGCUCCUACCUCCAGGUUCCUGCCAUGAGUUCCUGCUAUGACUUCACCAAGUGGCAGAGUGUGACCUGAGAAUUGUAAGAUGUAAUAAGCCCUUUCCUCACCAAGUUUCUGUUGGUCAUGUUGUUUAAUUACAAUAGUAGGAACACUAAGACAUAAUCCACUGAGUCCAAUUACUGCUGCCUAUGGAAGGAGGGCCAUCCAACAGAGCCCGGACCACAUCCCUAGAGAAAAUGCAUCCCCUCUCUCCCAGAACUCAUCUGAUAAUAAGCUCCACACCUAGGUUUAGAAUCUCAUGAGUUGACUGGUUUGAUAGUGUAUAGGCAAUCAUAGCUGUUGUGAGUUCAUGAGAACAACAGCCCUGGCAUGUCCAGAAGACCUUAUUUUGUAGCUGUUGUCUCCAACCUCUGGCUUUCACAAUCACCUUCUUCCAGGAUGUUCUCUAAAAGGGUGUGUGUGUUGUGUGUGUGUGUGUGUGUGUGUGUGUGUGUGUGGUGGUGGUGGUGGUGGUGGUGGUGGUGGUGGAGGUGGGGCUUCUGUUUAGGACUGAGCACUCCACAGUCACUUAUUUUCUGUACUUUGAGCAACUAGGAUUCUCCAGAGCCAAGAACUAUGAGGAAGAGAGAAAGCUGCACUAAUCUCUGGGUAUAAAAUUAGGCAUUUUGAUGGCAGUUUGUACUACCAUGUGUUUUGAAAAGACUUUGAAAAGUCGAUUUAAUGAUUGUAAGCUUGCUGAACCACAGACCCACCACCCUACUCUCAGUUCUGUGGAGUCAGAAUUUUGGUAUGGGGACCUGGGAAUCUGAAUGUGCUCCUAACUCCUUGAGUGAUCUGAGGGGUAGAAUAAAUUCCUGCUAUAGAAUGUCU